rnacentral:rRNA from 2 species
UACGGAGGGUGCAAGCGUUAAUCGGAAUUACUGGGCGUAAAGCGCGCGUAGGCGGUUAUUUAAGUCAGAUGUGAAAGCCCCGGGCUUAACCUGGGAAUGGCAUUUGAGACUGGAUGGCUAGAGUAUGGUAGAGGUGAGUGGAAUUUCAGGUGUAGCGGUGAAAUGCGUAGAGAUCUGAAGGAACAUCAGUGGCGAAGGCGACUCACUGGGCCAUUACUGACGCUGAGGUGCGAAAGCGUGGGUAGCAAACAGG